UACGUAGGGACCGAGCGUUUGUCCGGAAUCAUUGGGCGUAAAGAGCGUGUAGGCGGCUAUUUAAGUCCUGCGUGAAAUCCUGCGGCUCAACCGCAGACGGUCGUGGGAAACUGGAUGGCUAGAGUGCGGGAGAGGAGAGUGGAAUUCCCGGUGUAGCGGUGAAAUGCGCAGAUAUCGGGAAGAACACCCGUGGCGAAGGCGGCUCUCUGGAACGCAACUGACGCUGA
rnacentral:rRNA from 1 species